GGGUUGUGAGGUUAAGCGACUAAGCGUACACGGUGGAUGCCCUGGCAGUCAGAGGCGAUGAAGGACGUGCUAAUCUGCGAAAAGCGCCGGCGAGGUGAUAUGAACCUUUGACCCGGCGAUGUCCGAAUGGGGAAACCCAGUGUGAUUCGUCACACUAUCGUUAACUGAAUACAUAGGUUAACGAGGCGAACCGGGGGAACUGAAACAUCUAAGUACCCCGAGGAAAAGAAAUCAACCGAGAUUCCCCCAGUAGCGGCGAGCGAACGGGGAGCAGCCCAGAGUCUGAAUCAGCUUGUGUGUUAGUGGAAGCGUCUGGAAAGUCGCACGGUACAGGGUGACAGUCCCGUACACGAAAGCACACAGGUUGUGAACUCGAAGAGUAGGGCGGGACACGUGGUAUCCUGUCUGAAUAUGGGGGGACCAUCCUCCAAGGCUAAAUACUCCUGACUGACCGAUAGUGAACCAGUACCGUGAGGGAAAGGCGAAAAGAACCCCGGCGAGGGGAGUGAAAAAGAACCUGAAACCGUGUACGUACAAGCAGUGGGAGCACCUUCGUGGUGUGACUGCGUACCUUUUGUAUAAUGGGUCAGCGACUUAUAUUCUGUAGCAAGGUUAACCGUAUAGGGGAGCCGAAGGGAAACCGAGUCUUAACUGGGCGUUAAGUUGCAGGGUAUAGACCCGAAACCCGGUGAUCUAGCCAUGGGCAGGUUGAAGGUUGGGUAACACUAACUGGAGGACCGAACCGACUAAUGUUGAAAAAUUAGCGGAUGACUUGUGGCUGGGGGUGAAAGGCCAAUCAAACCGGGAGAUAGCUGGUUCUCCCCGAAAGCUAUUUAGGUAGCGCCUCGUGAACUCAUCUUCGGGGGUAGAGCACUGUUUCGGCUAGGGGGCCAUCCCGGCUUACCAACCCGAUGCAAACUACGAAUACCGAAGAAUGUUAUCACGGGAGACACACGGCGGGUGCUAACGUCCGUCGUGAAGAGGGAAACAACCCAGACCGCCAGCUAAGGUCCCAAAGUCAUGGUUAAGUGGGAAACGAUGUGGGAAGGCACAGACAGCCAGGAUGUUGGCUUAGAAGCAGCCAUCAUUUAAAGAAAGCGUAAUAGCUCACUGGUCGAGUCGGCCUGCGCGGAAGAUGUAACGGGGCUAAACCAUGCACCGAAGCUGCGGCAGCGACGCUUAUGCGUUGUUGGGUAGGGGAGCGUUCUGUAAGCCGUUGAAGGUGUGCUGUGAGGCAUGCUGGAGGUAUCAGAAGUGCGAAUGCUGACAUAAGUAACGAUAAAGCGGGUGAAAAGCCCGCUCGCCGGAAGACCAAGGGUUCCUGUCCAACGUUAAUCGGGGCAGGGUGAGUCGACCCCUAAGGCGAGGCCGAAAGGCGUAGUCGAUGGGAAACAGGUUAAUAUUCCUGUACUUGGUGUUACUGCGAAGGGGGGACGGAGAAGGCUAUGUUAGCCGGGCGACGGUUGUCCCGGUUUAAGCAUGUAGGCGGAACGAUUAGGUAAAUCCGGUCGUUUUUUAACGCUGAGGUGUGAUGACGAGGCACUACGGUGCUGAAGUAACAAAUGCCCUGCUUCCAGGAAAAGCCUCUAAGCAUCAGGUAACAUUAAAUCGUACCCCAAACCGACACAGGUGGUCAGGUAGAGAAUACCAAGGCGCUUGAGAGAACUCGGGUGAAGGAACUAGGCAAAAUGGUGCCGUAACUUCGGGAGAAGGCACGCUGAUAUGUAGGUGAAGCCCCUGCGGGUGGAGCUGAAAUCAGUCGAAGAUACCAGCUGGCUGCAACUGUUUAUUAAAAACACAGCACUGUGCAAACACGAAAGUGGACGUAUACGGUGUGACGCCUGCCCGGUGCCGGAAGGUUAAUUGAUGGGGUUAGCGGCAACGCGAAGCUCUUGAUCGAAGCCCCGGUAAACGGCGGCCGUAACUAUAACGGUCCUAAGGUAGCGAAAUUCCUUGUCGGGUAAGUUCCGACCUGCACGAAUGGCGUAAUGAUGGCCAGGCUGUCUCCACCCGAGACUCAGUGAAAUUGAACUCGCUGUGAAGAUGCAGUGUACCCGCGGCAAGACGGAAAGACCCCGUGAACCUUUACUAUAGCUUGACACUGAACACUGGUCCUUGAUGUGUAGGAUAGGUGGGAGGCUUUGAAGCGUGGACGCCAGUCUGCGUGGAGCCGUCCUUGAAAUACCACCCUUUAAUGGCUGGUGUUCUAACGUAGACCCGUAAUCCGGGUUGCGGACAGUGUCUGGUGGGUAGUUUGACUGGGGCGGUCUCCUCCCAAAGAGUAACGGAGGAGCACGAAGGUUAGCUAAUCCUGGUCGGACAUCAGGAGGUUAGUGCAAUGGCAUAAGCUAGCUUGACUGCGAGAGUGACGGCUCGAGCAGGUGCGAAAGCAGGUCAUAGUGAUCCGGUGGUUCUGAAUGGAAGGGCCAUCGCUCAACGGAUAAAAGGUACUCCGGGGAUAACAGGCUGAUACCGCCCAAGAGUUCAUAUCGACGGCGGUGUUUGGCACCUCGAUGUCGGCUCAUCACAUCCUGGGGCUGAAGUAGGUCCCAAGGGUAUGGCUGUUCGCCAUUUAAAGUGGUACGCGAGCUGGGUUUAGAACGUCGUGAGACAGUUCGGUCCCUAUCUGCCGUGGGCGCUGGAGAAUUGAGGGGGGCUGCUCCUAGUACGAGAGGACCGGAGUGGACGCAUCACUGGUGUUCGGGUUGUCAUGCCAAUGGCACUGCCCGGUAGCUAAAUGCGGAAAAGAUAAGUGCUGAAAGCAUCUAAGCACGAAACUUGCCCCGAGAUGAGUUCUCCCUGAGACUUUAAGUCUCCUGAAGGAACGUUAAAGACGAUGACGUUGAUAGGUCGGGUGUGUAAGCGCAGCGAUGCGUUGAGCUAACCGAUACUAAUGAACCGUGAGGCUUAACCUUACAACGCCGAAG
rnacentral:rRNA from 1 species